UUCCCUGUGCCCAGACUCUUGUUCGGGGCCUUGAAACAGUGAGCUGUCUUUGUUCGAAAUACAGGUGAACGGCAAUCAUGUGAUUAACACACACACACAUAAAAAGCUUUUUAACAGCGCCCGCCCGGCCUCAGAACUGCCCGGGAGAGAAGCCGCCUUGGAUGGACAGAGGGACCGAGCAAGAGAACAUCCAGCCAGUUGUGUCCGGGGCUCCCCUGCAGCGGUCUCCGACGCCUGCUGCUGUCUGCCGGCUGCCUGCCCGCCUGGCAUCUCUCUCCCGCUCCCCUCAUAGGACAAGGACAGGAGGAGAUGAGGGGACACAACGAGGGCAUCCACCACCUCUGAUCGCAGACGUGUGGACCACGCCUCUGUCGCGAGGGGCCUGACAUUCUCUGCGUUCCUGCCAGGCCGACACAGGACCUUCCUGUCCCAAACUCCCGGCCAGCCAUUUCACCUAAUCUACACAGCCGCCACCUGAGGCGAGGAAGUUGCUGUCCCUGGAGGUGGAGACUCAGAGGGUAAAUGUCGGGGUCAAGGCCUCUGUGAACGGGCGUCUCCCAGCAGACCCCUCCGGAGAGACCCCCGUGAACACGUCCCGAACCCACGAGAACACUGAAUCUGGCCUCCAGUGAGGGCCGACACCAUUUUCACCGGAACUUUGCAGAAUGACACAGACUGUGUCCCCGGAAUGGGAUGUCAGGAAGCCAGCCAGACAAUGAAGUGUCUGCUCCCUGGGGAGUUUUUGCCACCGUCCCCUCCCACAGCCACCCUGCGAAGCAGACAGGGAAGGGCUGAUGAUAUCAUGUUUUUAAAUGAGGAAACUGAGUCACAGAAGAGCAGCACAAAUCGGGUCUUGGAGCUCAACCCACUGAGGACAGCUCACUUACUCUGAUUUCCGGGGCUACUGCCUCCCCCACCGCAAAAGGGCCCAGAGCCUGGAAGGAUGGAUGGAUGGACAGAAAUAUUUAGGCAGAUCCCAGCCACCUAUCUGUAUCUGUCUAGAAUCACGGAAGUCACCACUCUGAGGAUACUGGCUCAGCCACCAGAACGCUUGGUGACCCCAUCUUACCCACCCACCCGUGUGGACAGAGUAUCCACACUGCAGGCUGGGAGUGUGUGCAACUCAUCUCUGUCCGUCUUGUCUGUCUCCACUCUGCUGGGUUCGCAUCCCUGGGAGACAGACGCUGAGCGAGCUUGAGGACUCGGUGGUGGAUGGUGAGGCCCGGUGGGAGAGUAAGAAGAGACCUUGAGUCGAACAACUCGCCCCGACUGUCCCUCAAAGAGGAGAGAUGAGUUUUCGGAUGCUCCAAGUCAGGGUGCCUGGACACACUGAGGCCUCCUGUUUCUGGAAGCUGAACGGGAAAGGCUUCCUGGAGGAGGUGACCCAAGAUUAGAUCCAAGUGAAGGUUUAGAGGUCAGAAACAAGGAAGAGCCGGCCAGCACUGGGGAGAGGCAAGGAGGAGAUGGUGAAUGGUGUGUGGGAGUGAGGGGUCCCCACAGCACCUGCCUGCUGUAGUGGAAUGUGGCAGGAAAAAUGAGGCAGUGGGCAGUGAGGGUGCCGUGUGGAUCCCGAGGGCAGAGGAGCACUUCCAGAGUUAUUUAUUAUUUUUGAGACAGAGUCUCUCUAUAUAGCCAUGGCUGCCCUGGAACUCUAUAUAGACCAGGCUGGCCCCCAAUUCACAGAGACCCUCUUGCCGCUGCCUCCUGUGUUGGGAUUAAAGGUGUGCUGACCACUGGAUCUAACUACUCACUGAGCCAGAUUCGUUUUGUGUUCUAGAAAGAUCUCUGCCCUGUAGGCCAGGUCUGUGCCAGCCUGGCUUACUGUUGGCACUCUGGCACCUGGACCCGUGCCCAGCAUAUAGCAAAGGUUCUAAAUCAGUGCGUGGGGGCAGGCAGCAUCCAUUGAGGCGGUGGCUCUCUCCAGCUGUGGCACCAGGGCCUCAGUUUCUUCGUGGAUAAAAUGGGGCGACAGUGCCUGCCUUGUGGGUGUGCUGCAGUGGUUGGAGAAACGUGGAGGCAUACCUCCAUGUCCUGUGCAUGGCCAGCACCCCAAGACUGGUGUGGGGUGUUCUUUGCGGAAUGUGGAGGCAGGGAUGCUAUUCAGGGUCACUCAGCUAUUCAGGUGACAGAGGUCAUGACAACAGUGGUGAUCGCCAAGGCUUUAAGCACUUUCUGUAUUCCCCAGAACAAGCCACAAGAAAGAAGGGGUUGCUCUCCCUGUCCCGUCAUCCAGGAAAGGAGGCUCAAGGAGGACCUCUGACUUGCCCAAAGUACCUCCACCCCUCAGUGGUGGAUGGGAACUCACCGAUGCCAUUUCAUACCACCAUGGGCAUGGAUGUGACAUGAAGAUACAGUGCAGACCAGUGGACCAGUGGGGGGGGGGGGCAGGCACAGGACAGGGAAUGUACCAACGCCCCACCUUUUCUGCUUCUGGUAGAGAGAAGAUAGCAGGGCCUAGCAAGGCAGAACGGUUUGAGUACAAUGAGUAUGUGAGGAGAUGCUAUGAGGUCUGAGGUCUCACAGAGCAAGCAUGGGGCUGGGGAAAGAGUGGGAAAAGAUGAAGGCCCUCCCGUCCUAGAGCAAGGCCAGGGAGCUGUGUGGGAAGGUUGCAGGUUCCCUGGGGCAUGGGAAGAGGAGGGAAGGGGGACGCCGCUGGCUUGCCCCACUGCUACCCAGGGGUCAUAGAGGUCAGGUGGCCGGCAGGGUGGCCUGGAAAGACAGGAGACAGGGCUGCAGAGAGAAGGGCCUGGUCGGUGGACCUUCCCCAGAUCAGAGAUGGGUAUAUUUGGGACUUGUCGAUAGUGUCUGGGGGGCAGCACCAGCUAGCUCCAUUGGGCACAGGAGGGGGAUAUGAGAGCACAGUCUAAGGGCAUUGUUCUCUGCAGGGUGAAAGGAGGGAUGGGGAAGGAGAGAUACUCAUGGUGUUGGGGGGGAGGGCCUGACGAUGGAGUGGUUUGAAUGGGAGGAGAUUCCCCAGCAGGCAGGAGCCAUUUGUUGGUGGGAGAGGGGAGCCAACUACAGUUGGAGGUGGGGUGCAUAGAGCUUGGGGUGCCCUGAGAACUGGUGUCUUCGGGUCUAGAGAGGGCAGGAGUGGCUAAGCUGUCUUUUUCUUCUUGGUGCUGGCCACAUGCCUGGCCUGUGUCAGGACAUCGGUGAGCCUGUCCUACACCUCACCUCAGGUGCCUCACCUGGUGCUGGGUGGCCGUCCUCACCCCACAGUGUGGGUAUGAAGGGGAGCAAGGGCUAGGCAGCUCCAGAGGGAUUGGGUGGUCCCCGGCCACUUCCCUCCGUGUGAACCCUCCCGCUUUUCCCCGGCAGGGCUGCAGAGCUGCCCUCUGCCAGAACGCGGUGCCAAGCACAGAGCAGGACCUCAAGCAUGUUUGCCCUGUACUUGUCUGCUCUUGGCAGAGUUCAAAGCCCUGUCCCUUGAUGACCCACGAGGCCACCUUACCCAGCAUGACUGCUCCUGUGAGGGAGACAGAACCUGGGAGGGGGUCCUUGUUCUCCCUACGGAAACCAGACACUUCGUCCUCAGGGAACGCCCAUGUGGCCCCCAGACCACUCACCGACGUCAAUCAUCCUUGCUGCUCAGUUCCCUGGACUGGAGCAUCGGGAUGGGAAGCAGGCCAAGGUGCACAGGGGCAGGAGGGUCUAGGACUGGGGUGGGGGUGGGGAUAGUUGUUGAGUUAGCCUGCCUUGUCUGAACUUUCGCAGGUCCCUUUCACGAGGGGCUGUAGGGUCGCCCUCUGACCCUGCCCACAACUGUGAGGUGGGGCUGCUUCCCGAAGGACCCUGUGCCCGUCCAGCGUGUGGGUGACUUGGCCGCACUUGCCAGUGCUCCAUUAAAGAGGAGGUGUCCCUACACACCCGAGUUCAAAGAUGCCACUGCAGAGUGUGUUAGUAACAGAAGCUGCCUGUGACUUUCGAGUUCGGGAGCAGAGGACGGGAACUGGAGGCAGAUCACCUUCACAUAGCAGAACGCAAUGUGGUGGUAAAACUGACGUUCAUGCUGGGCUUGAAAGAUGGGGGAGCGUCUAUGGUGAAAAGCUCGUGUGCCAAUCCAGGAGAAGCAGCUAUAUAUGUGCGCUCAGAGAACUUCUGCCAGGAGCAGUGAGGUGGGACCCAGCGGUGUGCUCUGCGUGAACUCACUGCACGCAACCACGCGUAGAAAGAAAACUGGGUUUAACAAAGUGUGGAGGGGGUGCUGGGGAGAUGGCUCAGUGGUUAAGGGCACUGUCUGCUCUUCCAACCACCCGGGGCCAAUUCCCAGCGCCCACACGGCAGCUCACAACUGCCUGCAACGCCCAUUCCAGGGAUCUGACACCUUCACCCUAGUGCACAUAAAAUAAAAUAAUAAAUUAUAGAAAAAGAAAGAAAACUGGAGGGGCGGAGGGGAGAUGGCUCAGUCGGUAAAGUGCUUGGUGUGCAAGCAUGAGGAUUUGAGUUGGAGUCCCAGAACACACAUGAAAACGCCGGGCGUGAUAUCACGUGCUUGCAACCCCCGGCGCUAGAGACGUGAGCACAGCUGGACCUCAGCUCGUGGGAAGCCAGCCUAGAGAUCUUGUCGGCUUCUGGGAAAGUGGACACACCCAAGGACUGCCACUGGAGGUGUCCCCCGGCCUCCACACGCGCGUAUGCGUGCAUUGCCAAGGGAAGGUAGGGGACUGCACAAACGUGCUCACACGCACUUUAAAAAUUUUAAAAAUUUUAAAACAUUUUAGGACAUUUUAAAAAUGCAGCAGAGGGCUGGGGAGAUGGCUCAGUGAUUAUUUGCUGCUCUUGCAGAGAGAAGCAGGGUUUGGUUCCCAGCACCUAGGUUGGGCGUCUCACAACCACCUGUUACUCCAGCUCUGGGGGAUCUGAACCCCCUCUUCUGGCCUCCGUGGACACCCGCUUGCACAUGUGUAAACACACACACACAUAAAUAAAAAUCUUUUUUAAAAUUAAAAAUCUGGAAAGACAACAGAAAAAAAGUUGAACCUCAGUUAUUCUUGAGAGGGUAGAACUUAGUAAACUUUUCAUUUACUGACUUUUUUUCUUUUGAGGCAGGAUUUCACUAUGUAGCUCUCCUAGUCAGCCUGGAACUCUACGUAGACCAGACCGGCCUUGACCUCUUAGCAACCCUCCUGCCUCUGCACCCUGCGUGCUAGGAUUACAGUGCUAUGCCACUACACUCAGCUGAGUUUAUUUUUUAAUCACAUCUUAGUCUGUGCGUAUGUGGGUGGGUAUGAAUGAGCGUGCAUAUGUGAGCCUCACUCCCAGCCUGUGCCUUGAGCGUUUCCACUUCUUUGUUUCCCUGGCACUGGCAUAUGUGAUAGGAAGUCACAGGACCUGGUCAUGUUCCUGACCGUGGAAGUCAUACCUCAGUUUCCCUAAGGGCUGGGCAUUUUCAGAUCAAUUUUGAAGGCCCAGUUGUCCAGAAGAUAGACAUGUCUGGUGUGGGACAGCUAAGUGUGUGUGUGUGUGUGUGUGUGUGUGUGUGUGUGUGUGUUGGCUGAGGAUGGGGACGGGCCGAGGCUGGAUGAGUCCUUGGCUAGCUCCCUCAUCAGACCCUGGUUCCUGGCACAUCUCUGAACCCCGUGGUGGUGGGAACUGGUACCUGAAAGGUGGAGGGUCUCAGCAAAGCAGACCCCACCAAGAGAGAUGGCCUGGUGUCCCCACAGUGUAUAGUGAGCUGAUGGCAAUUAAAGGCCAGCAAGGACUCCUCCCUCCGAGGAGGAUGGAUGGGAAAGGGGAGGGGGUUCCCUGGGGCUACAAAUGCUUAGAUGUUGCCACUGACAAGCUGAGCUGUCCACAGCCCUGAGCACAAUGCUGUCAUUAACCCCUGACCCUGGCCCCUACUUAGCCACUUCCUCUGCAGGAGGAGGGAGGGCCGGAUUCCACCAUGAUGCUCAUUUCAGUGAGGUUUGGGGGUCACAGCUCUGUAGGCUCCUCUAGAGCUCUGUAGCUCCGUAGCUGCUCCGGGCUUGAGCGGGAGAGAGUAUGUCACACUUUGGCCCCUUCAGGGGCAGUCAUGGGCCAAGCGCUUCAAGCCAGAGCAGCAUGAAAGGAGAGAAUGGAGAAAGCCAAAGACAGAGACAGACAGACAGGGAGGCUGUAGAGAGAGGCCACUCUUGUGCCCUCCACAGCAUGUACAAAGGCAUGCAGGAAGCAAGGCUGUCAUGAAAUGAGAUGAUCAGUCCCGAUCAGGCAUGAACACUCUAAAAUAAGGUCUCGGCAACACACACCUGGCCAGGCAGAAGGGCGCAUUACACACCCUGGGAACGUGAGGCUGGCUUAAUGCUUGGAAUCUGUCAACACAAUUCUUCACUGAAUGAAUGAAUUCAGGAGACAGUCUGACGGCCAUCUCAGCCCUGGCCACACAUUUCAGAAACUCCCUGGGAUGAACUGUCUCAGACCAGGGGCCUGGGAGUGGGGAAGGAGCCUGCGAGCUGAGAAAGAUCAUGGCUGAGACCCGUUAGACAUGGUUUCCAACAGGGCGACAGACCCAUGCCUUUCAAUCAGUCUCCUCCGGUUGAACUCAGCCAAGUGUCUGCUCAUGCUGUGUCCAAGCUUCCAGCCAAGGAGGCAGUUGGCCCAUACAGUAAACUGCCAGAACAAAACAAAAUGCGGGGAUCGGAAAGGAGGAUGCAAGCUGACAUUACCGAACCAAAGCUGCCUACACAGAAACCCAAAAGAGCCCAUAGGCAAAUGGCUGGAGCUGAAAUUUACCCAAGAUACGCAUCCAUUAAAGCAAUAGGAAAGGCUAACUGCUGGAUGGCUGUGGCGGGCUCGGCACGGAAAAGCUCCUGUUUCCGAGGCUGACCCGAGUUUAACCACCAGAAUCUGAAUGGUAGAACUUACCCUUUGACCUCUACGCCUGCCCCUCCCCCGACACACACACACACACACACACACACACACACACACACACACACACGGCGGUUUUUAAAAAUUACGUGUCUGAGUGUUCUGCUCGCAUGUAUGAAUAUGUAUCAAGCAUGUGCCUGGUGCCCCUCAGAGGCCGGAAGAGGGGGGUUGGGUCCCAUGGGACUGGACUUACAGAUGGUUGUGUGUGGCUGUGAGGGGUCGGGAACCUGAACUCUAGUAACCACUGGCUCACCUCUCCAUCCUGCUAAUUU